UCGGGAAUUUUGGGCAAUGGGCGAAAGCCUGACCCAGCAACGCCGCGUGAAGGAUGAAGUAUUUCGGUAUGUAAACUUCGAAAGAAUAGGAAGAAUAAAUGACGGUACUAUUUAUAAGGUCCGGCUAACUACGUGCCAGCAGCCGCGGUAAUACGUAGGGACCAAGCGUUGUUCGGAUUUACUGGGCGUAAAGGGCGCGUAGGCGGCAAUUCAAGUCAUCUGUGAAAUCUCCGGGCUUAACUCGGAACGGUCAGAUGAUACUGCUUUGCUAGAGUGCAGAAGGGGCAAUCGGAAUUCUUGGUGUAGCGGUGAAAUGCGUAGAUAUCAAGAGGAACACCUGAGGUGAAGACGGGUUGCUGGGCUGACACUGACGCUGAGGCGCGAAAGUCAGGGGAGCAAACGGGAUUAGAUACCCCCGUAGUCCCUGAGCGGGCUGGCAAGGCGCAU
rnacentral:rRNA from 1 species